UCCCCUCUCGCCCCACUUCCCAUUCGUCGCCGCGUCGCCAUGUGCAUCCACGGGCUGGCGGCCUUACGGCUCCGCCCAGCGAAUGCCGCAUCAGGCCCUCUCCUACCUUCUCCACUCACGUCUCCUCUCCACUCAGUCGCCACCUAUCGCCCUCUCACCUACCCCCGACGCAUCACCACGCACGUCGCCGAGACCACAACUACCAAGACUCCGCCCAGCAACAGAUGCGUCUCCAGCGAGCAGUGUGCGGCUGAGGGGACGCACGCAACGAGCUUCAUCGCGCAUGCACGGGUGAUGGAUCCGAUCGUGGUCCGUUCAGAUCCGCGAGGUUGCUGGUCUCCGGCGAUUUCAAGGUCGAUCCGAAGUGGGGAGGUGGGCCAACGCGUGGGGAGAUUUCAAGAUUCAUUGCUGGUGCCUCGAUCUGCAACGGCAGAAACUACGGUAUGUUGGUACGAACCCUUUCCUCCUCUACUUCUUCCAUUUGUGGAUUCCCUUGCCUGAUCUCCUCCUCGCCUUCUGUUUCGAGGCGGCUCCCCGACGGCAUACACACGGGCCACGGUGGUGCAGCCUGUCGUCUUCAUCGUCGGCAAGAAGCACCACCACGAGGUGCAGUCACGGUGGUGCAACGUGUGGUCUACAUCGUCUACCACUCCGCUGUCUUCCGCAACCAAACCCAAACCCCCCCGACACCCACUUCCGCGGCAAGGAAACAAAGAAGUGACCGGAUAGGCAAUCAACUCAUCUGUUGAUUGGAUUGGGGGUGGCAUGAACAAAGUAAAGGUGAAGAAAGCAAGGUUGGACGCUAGGUGGCGGCACCAACAGGGGAAGUGUCAGGCAUGAACCAAACAUCUAUGGCUUGUUGCUUUGAAUCUUGCCGGUCUAGGCAAGGUCUGGCUGUUGUGAUGGCCGAAGGGAGAGCAAGGAGGGGGAGGAGGAAUGGCACAGGAGGUUAACAUAUAAGUUGUAAUAUAUGAGAGGUCACACAAGUUCGAUGAAUGAUCUCAAUUCCAUAUUUUCCAUGAUUUCCCAAUGCCAGAGGAACUAACCAAUAUGUAAUUGUUGGUGGUAGUACAAUACAUAUAUACUGGAUAAGUCCGGGCAAUAUGUAAAAGUGAGAAAGAACGAGAGCUCUAGGCAUGGCGUGGUUUUCCAGUUCGUCACCAAGUCCCCAACGCUGUCACCGGCCGGACCUACGACAGUGCUAAGAUGAGUCUUCAUCUCUAAAAGCUGUUGUUAACUCUAUAAUGGAUCUAUUCUUCUAACCAGCAAGGAAUUUAAGUAGCAAGUUCGUUUCUCAAUGGUUAGUUGUAUAAUUGUCUGCCAACACCGACACUAAUUGACAACCAACCAUGACCAUCAAUUUAAUUUCAUUUAUUAAUUUGCAACUAUUUUUCCAGAUAAGGCUCAAUAUAUAUGAAGCUAUGAAACUUACAUACGACCAUGACAUGACUCUUGGUUGUGAAUUUUAAAUGGAGAACAUGCAGCCAAUCUUUUUGAAUGAAUUUGCUCAUGAUUUAUCUGGUUAUUGUUCACUAUGGGUGCAUGUGUAUUAUUGGGUUUGAGCCUUAGGCAUGCAACAAUGAGAUCUAUUUGUAUUGUUUUGUUAACUACUUAAUCCGGAAUCAUUCAUCAAGUUUGAUCCUAAAUAUUAUCACAAUACUUUGGAUACAACAAAAAUUAUUUCAACUUGCCAUGUGGAAAAUCAAGUAAGAGCAUAUCCAUGUGUAUGUUUCCUAAGAAUGGUACGGGAUUUGCAAACUUAAAAGAUAUUAGAUAUUUGACAAAUAUUUUUAACCAAAGUUGUUUGAAUUAUUUGUUCUGAUAUGGCUGUUUAAAUGAUUGUAAUGUUGAUUGUUCGUAGUUUUUUUGAACUGUGUAAGCACAAAUUUACAUUUUGUACACCCGGUGCAACGAACAGGGCUUUUAUUACAUGAAAGGACUUAUUAUCAUGACUGUCAUAAUAUUAAGAUUUUCAUAAGUGUUUGUUUAUUUGUUUGUUGUCUGCCAUGUUAAGAAUUGCAUGCAUGGUUUUAUUGAUAUCAAAUGUGCUUCAGAAAAUCACGUGUUAUGAAUCCAUGCUAUAAUUUUGAAGGUGAACAUACAGAAAAUGCAAGAUAAAACAUACUAAUAUAACAACUAUUACAAUAUUAGAGAAGAUAAAGAUCCAGAAUUAUUCGUACCUAGAGGAACUCACCUUCUAGAUGGUCCUUGCUUACACAAGGUACUCCUUGGGUAAUUUUCCUCCAGCUCUGCUAUUGUGAUGGCCGAAGGAACAUCAAGGAGGGGGAGAAGGGAUGGCAGACAAGGUUAACAUAUAUAGUUGUAAUAUCUGAGAGACCACACAAGUUCGAUGAAUGCUUUCAAUUCCAGUUUCUCCAUGGUUUCCCAAUGCCAAAGAUUUUAUUAUGAAGCUAAGCUUCUAGACACACAUCUGUUCUGGUAGUUAUUUGUAUGAGUUGACAUUCAGCAUUAAUAUCAAGGACAUUCGACAUGAAGCUAUUAUAAUACAUCUAGUUCGACUGUGUAAAUGUGUUCAUUUAUCAAUAAAACCUUGGUGAAUCUACAAUCAUGGGGAGCCUUGAUGCCUUCUCAUGUAAAUCAUGCAGGAAAUGAUUGUUGACUUUCAAUAAGCUUUGAAUAUGAGGCUACCCUGCUUGCGUCCGCCGCACUGACUGCGGAAGUGGACACGCUAAAGCAGGACCUCGAAAGAUUUCGAGCGUGCCAAUAAGCAGCUCAAGGAAAAUGAAGGUAAGAAAUACCUUGUUAAAAAUAUAUAUAUAAAAGGUGCAAUUGCAAGAAAUGACAGGAUUAUCGUGGCUAUUGUAGGGGCCACGUCUGAGGUGGCGACCCUUAAGCAAGCGCUG